rnacentral:rRNA from 1 species
GUGCCAGCAGCCGCGGUAAAACGUAGGAGGCGAGCGUUAUCCGGAUUUACUGGGUGUAAAGCGCGUGCAGGCGGUUUAUUAAGUUGGGUGUGAAAGCUCCUGGCUCAACUGGGAGAGGUCGCUCAAGACUGAUAGACUCGAGAGCAGUAGGGGAAGGUGGAAUUCCGGGUGUAGUGGUGAAAUGCGUAGAUAUCCGGAGGAACACCAGUGGCGAAGGCGGCCUUCUAGACUGUAUCUGACGCUCAGACGCGAAAGCUAGGGUAGCAAACGGGAUUAGAAACCCUCGUAGUCC